rnacentral:rRNA from 1 species
GACACGGCCCAGACUCCUACGGGAGGCAGCAGUAGGGAAUUUUCGGCAAUGGGGGAAACCCUGACCGAGCAACGCCGCGUGAAGGAAGAAGUAAUUCGUUAUGUAAACUUCUGUCAUAGAGGAAGAACGGUGGAUAUAGGGAAUGAUAUCCAAGUGACGGUACUCUAUAAGAAAGCCACGGCUAACUACGUGCCAGCAGCCGCGGUAAUACGUAGGUGGCGAGCGUUAUCCGGAAUUAUUGGGCGUAAAGAGGGAGCAGGCGGCACUAAGGGUCUGUGGUGAAAGAUCGAAGCUUAACUUCGGUAAGCCAUGGAAACCGUAGAGCUAGAGUGUGUGAGAGGAUCGUGGAAUUCCAUGUGUAGCGGUGAAAUGCGUAGAUAUAUGGAGGAACACCAGUGGCGAAGGCGACGAUCUGGCGCAUAACUGACGCUCAGUCCCGAAAGCGUGGGGAGCAAAUAGGAUUAGAUACCCUAGUAGUCCACGCCGUAAACGAUGAGUACUAAGUGUUGGGAGUCAAAUCUCAGUGCUGCAGUUAACGCAAUAAGUACUCCGCCUGAGUAGUACGUUCGCAAGAAUGAAACUCAAAGGAAUUGACGGGGGCCCGCACAAGCGGGGGAGCAUGUGGUUUAAUUCGAAGCAACGCGAAGAACCUUACCAGGUCUUGACAUCGAUCUAAAGGCUCCAGAGAUGGAGAGAUAGCUAUAGAGAAGACAGGUGGUGCAUGGUUGUCGUCAGCUCGUGUCGUGAGAUGUUGGGUUAAGUCCCGCAACGAGCGCAACCCCUGUUGCCAGUUGCCAGCAUUAAGUUGGGGACUCUGGCGAGACUGCCGGUGACAAGCCGGAGGAAGGCGGGGAUGACGUCAAAUCAUCAUGCCCCUUAUGACCUGGGCUACACACGUGCUACAAUGGACAGAGCAGAGGGAAGCGAAGCCGCGAGGUGGAGCGAAACCCAUAAAACUGUUCUCAGUUCGGACUGCAGUCUGCAACUCGACUGCACGAAGUUGGAAUCGCUAGUAAUCGCGAAUCAGCAUGUCGCGGUGAAUACGUUCUCGGGCCUUGUACACACCGCCCGUCACACCAUGAGAGUCGGUAACACCCGAAGCCGGUGGCCUAACCGCAAGGAAGGAGCUGUCUAAGGUGGGACUGAUGAUUGGGGUGAAGUCGUAACAAGGUAUCCCUACGGGAACGUGGGGAUG